AAGACGAAAGUGGGAUUACUCAUGCAGCCGUGAAAUGUGUAGAGAUGUGGAGGAACACCGGUGGCGAAGGCGGCUCUCUGGUCUGUAACUGACGCUGAGGCGCGAAAGCGUGUGGAGCAAACAGGAUUAGAUCCCCUGGUAGUCCACCGCGUAAACGAUGAGUGCUAAGGUUUAGGGGGUUUCCGCCCCUUAGUGUUGCAGGAAACGCAUUAAGCACUCCCCCUGGGGAGUACGGCCGCAAGGCUGAAACUCAAAGGAAUUGACGGGGACCCGCACAAGCGGUGGAGCAUGUGGUUUAAUUUGAAGCAACGCGAAGAACCUUACCCGGUCUUGACAUCCCGCCGACCGGCAUGGAGACAUGCCUUUCCCUUCGGGGACGGCGGUGACAGGUGGUGCAUGGUUGUCGUCAGCUCGUGUCGUGAGAUGUUGGGUUAAGUCCCGCAACGAGCGCAACCCUUGAUCUUAGUUGCCAGCAUUCAGUUGGGCACUCUAAGGUGACUGCCGGUGACAAACCGGAGGAAGGUGGGGAUGACGUCAAAUCAUCAUGCCCCUUAUGACCUGGGCUACACACGUGCUACAAUGGACGGUACAAAGGGCUGCGAACCCGCGAGGGGGAGCCAAUCCCAUAAAACCGUUCCCAGUUCGGAUUGCAGGCUGCAACUCGCCUGCAUGAAGCCGGAAUCGCUAGUAAUCGUGGAUCAGCAUGCCACGGUGAUUACGUUCUCGGGUCAAGUACACACCGCCCGUCACACCACGAUAGUUUGUAACACCCGAAGCCGGUGGGGUAACCCUUACGGGAGCCAGCCGCCGAAGGUGGGACAGAUGAUGGG
rnacentral:rRNA from 1 species